rnacentral:lncRNA from 1 species
CCUCCUUUUGAGCAAAACCCUUAGGACAAGUCUUGCCUUAUAUCUAAUGUCGUUCUCAUCUUUUUCACCUCUUUUGAUUUUAUAGACCCACUUGCAAUUUAUAACUCUCUUUCCCUUAGGUCUCUUGACUAAGGUCCAAGUUUUAUUCUUCCUCAAAGAUUCCAUCUCAUCAUGCAUUGCAGCAAGCCAAUGCUUAGAAUCUUUAUAAGAUCUUUAUAAGACUCGGGUACAUUCUUAAUGAACCCUUAAACAGUAAGAACGGACAUUUCAUCUUCAAACCUCACAGGUGGUCUUAUUUGUCUCCUUUCUCUAUCUCUUGUAAGUUGAUAAUCAUUUAAAUGUUGAUUUACUUCAAAAUCAGAUUCAUUCAGAUCAGUUUCAUCAGUAUUUUGAACCUCAAUUUCAUUAUUUUCAAUCUUAUCGGGUUUUAGAUUAUCAUUAUUAACAUGCUCCACCUCAAUUUCAGUUUCCCUCCCUUCAUUUUCAGUCUGACCAGAUUUAGUUGUGUUAUUUUCAGAUUUCAAACAAGGCAUAUUAGAUUCAUUAAACACAACAUUUCUACUCAAAAUGAUCUUAAAACCUUUGGUCUCUUUUACCCAAAGUUUAUAUCUCUUCACCAUAGCCCAAGAAAACACACUUUAGGGCUCUAGGUUCAAGUUUUCCUUCAGAUUAGUGUGCAAAGGUUGUACAACCAAAAAUUUUCAAAUUUCUCAAAUCUACAGGUUUUCCUGUUCAAACUUCUUCAGGGGAUUUAAAUUGUAUAGCAUUAGCGGGGCUUCUAUU